rnacentral:lncRNA from 1 species
AGCGGAGCGAGAACUCCUGUCGAAUCUCCCCAGCAGGCGCGCGCCUCCCGCGAGCCGGAGCCGGAGCCGGAGCUGGAGGACUUCGGCUACUCUGUCCUGCGUUUCCCCGCGGGCCCGUCCUCGAGAGGGACCUGCGCCGCGGCGCGAGGAGGCGGCGAGCCCGCGGCCGCCCGGCAGGCACGCGCUGGAGAGCGGCACGAGGAGGUGGUGUAUUCUCUGUGCGGCCCACAGCGGAGCUGACACGCGUGGACAUCGUGGAAUUCUGCAGGCACAGCUCAGCCACACAAGCCGAGGUUCACGCGUGUACAUUCCGCAGCGCGGCGAUGCGAGUUCACAAGACCGUUAAAAUGAACGACAAGCCAGGGAGCCGCUAACGGGAAACGUACCUUUUACUGCUCACGAGAUCAAGGAUAGGUCCGUCAGCCCGCGUGCCACACACGUCCUGAUUUGUUCAAAGUAAGUGUGCGCACGGGCUAAGUAAUUAUAAUUACAAUUUAUUAUAAUAAUGAUAUAUAAUUUAUAAUUAAUACCCCGGCGUCCUGGCCAAAUCUCCCCCCGGCCCUUAACAAACAAGGCCCCCUAAUAAUCCCCAUCUCUGAACUGGCUUCAUCACUCUGCUCUCCUCCCCACUGAGAGCUGGUGUGUGGGGAGAGGACUGGCGCAUCAUCCAGGUGGGGCUGCACACUGGUGCUGGUGGAGGGGAUCCCCAUUACCUGUAAAGCGCUUUGAGUGGGGUGUCCAGAAAAGCGCUAUAUAAGUGUUCUG